rnacentral:rRNA from 1 species
UACGUAGGCAGCAAGCGUUGUUCGGAGUUACUGGGCGUAAAGAGUGCGUAGGCGGUGCUCUAAGUUUGGUGUGAAAUCCCUCGGCUUAACCGGGGAACUGCGUCUGAUACUGGAUGGCUUGAGUUCGGGAGAGGGAUGCGGAAUUCCAGGUGUAGCGGUGAAAUGCGUAGAUAUCCGGAGGAACACCAGUGGCGAAGGCGACUUUCUGGCCUGUUCUUGACGCUGAGGCGCGAAAGCUAGGGGAGCAAACGGG